AUUGAACGCUGGCGGCAGGCUUAACACAUGCAAGUCGAGCGGAGAUGAGGUGCUUGCACCUUAUCUUAGCGGCGGACGGGUGAGUAAUGCUUAGGAAUCUGCCUAUUAGUGGGGGACAACAUUCCGAAAGGAAUGCUAAUACCGCAUACGUCCUACGGGAGAAAGCAGGGGAUCUUCGGACCUUGCGCUAAUAGAUGAGCCUAAGUCGGAUUAGCUAGUUGGUGGGGGAAAGGCCUACCAAGGCGACGAACUGUAGCGGGUCUGAGAGGAUGAACUGCCACACUGGGACGGAGAAACGGCCCAGACUCCUACGGGAGGCAGCAGUGGGGAAUAUUGGACAAUGGGGCGAACCCCGAUCCAGCCAUGCCGAGUGUGUGAAGAAGGCCUUAUGGUUGUAAAGGACUUUAAGCGAGGAGGAGGCUACUGAGACUAAUACUCUUGGAUAGUGGACGUUACUCGCAGAAUAAGCACCGGCUAACUCUGUGCCAGCCGCCGCCGUAAGAC
rnacentral:rRNA from 1 species